GUGAAAGUUUGAGCGGCUGGGAAGGAAGGAGGAGAGGAAGGAUUCAUCUGGAGGCUCUCUCCUUGGCUGGGUCCUUGGGUUGCCGAGGCGAGUGGGAGCCCUACUUCCUUAGGCCUCGCAAGAAGAGAUGUGCUCUCUUCGUCCACGGCGAGGCGUUCUGCCACCUUGCCUGAACGCAGUCCCGCUCCACCUCCUUCUGAGUCUGGGUUUUCUUAACUUGGCUUUCUCGCCUCUGAAGAGAAGACCAGUAGAAAAAAAUCCUAGGGUACAACUUUCAUUGCUUCCCAAAGUCCCCAGAUGGCCCCUGAGCGACCCACCCUGAGCCUGGAGGGCUCACAAACCCACCGUUCCGCCCAGCCGUUCUGAGAGGGCAAAGGCGCUCCCCCGAAAGUCCCACGGCGCAGCUGAAGACUACGCUGGCCUGAACUGGAUCCUCCUCCCUAGUGUAAGCCUAUAGGACCUCCAGAUGAGGAAAAUACUGUGUGGGAUUUCAGAGUAUAGUGUUGAAGGGCCACAGUGCACUCUAUGCAUAACCAAAGCAGAAGAAAAAUCCAUCCCUGAACGCACUAUAAUUACCCCACCUUAAAACAGAAGUUUGUGAGGCGAGUCCAUGAAACAGGUAUCAAAAAAAAUUUUUUUAUACUUAAUCCUCAGUGUGAGCCUCAAAUUUAAGAGGAUUGAAAUCAGAGUAUCAUCUCUAACCGCAAUAGAAUUAAAAUUAGAAAUCAACCCAAACAAGCCAGAAAAUUCCGGAAAUAUUGGAAAUUAAGCAACAUAAUUCCAAAUCUCUAGGUCAAAGAAGAGAUCAAUGGAAAUUUAAAAAUAAGUUGAGGCCGGGCACGGAGGCUCACACUUGUAAUCCCAACACUUUGGGAGGCCAAGGCAGGUGGAUCACCUGAGGUCAGACACGAGUAUCUCUUGAAUCCGGGAAGCGGAGGUUGCAGUGCCCGAGAUGGAGCCACUGCACUCCAGCCUGGGCGA
rnacentral:lncRNA from 10 species